GGGCUGGCUCAUCAGAGUAACUCAGCACCAGCUCAGUGUCCCCAGGUGUUCCAGAGUUGCCCAAUAAGAAGUCCUCCCAUGAGAUUUGGAAGUCAGAAAAGGAUGACUCAAUAUUCUCCACAGGUACCUAAGACAGACACAGGGACAGAGGUGAGGACUGGAGAAACACCUGGAAAGAUGCUGUAGGAAGCUGAGAGCAUCAGCACCCCUACCCCUAAGCUUCCAGAAAGGACUGAGGACCACACGGUUAAACUGUCCAUACUUCAGGGGAAGAUGCAUUCUGUUUCCUGAAGGAGCACCAGAGAUUCCUGCUUCUAAUAUCAGCUUUCAUGACUACUUGACAAGGAAUCUGUUAUAGCAGCUUGAAAGAGAACAAGAGAGACAGCUCACAAUCAGUGAGGACAGGAGAAGGUGUACACAUACCCCCGCUUCAUCAUCUCUCAGAUGGAACAGCCAAGAGGAAUUUAGUCUAUGUUUUCACAUGUGGUUUAUCUUCAGUUAUCCUGAGUCAGGUAGGUUGUUGUGUCUUUUACCAGUCAUCUUCUGUUCCCUUCCUCACUUUCCUCCUUUCUUCCCAGUGUAAAUUUGUUGCCUAAACAGGAAUCCUCACUGCUGGUGGACCCAAACUCAGAUAGUUAAAAAACAAAAAUCAUUAAUCUUUUGUAUGAGGAGUAUUUCUCAUCUGAAUUCUAAUAAUUUCUUUUUCUUUGAAAUGUAGGAAUAUUUAGGAAACACUUAAUUUUUCUUUACCAAUCUAUUUCAGAUUGAAUUUGUGCAGUGAUUUUCUUUUUCUGUGUGUUAAAACCAAAAAUUAAGUUGUAGGCCACCAACCAGCUGAAUGGACUCCUCUUUUGGCAGAGAGAACUUCAAAGAAAUCUGAAACACUAGGUUAGGCCAUGACUGGCAGGUGGGUUUAAAUGUACCUCAUUAUGCUCUCCUCAUGUUGGAGUUCAGAAACAACUGACCAGCAUUAUCAUUACAAUAGAGAUCUUUCCACUGACAAAACAGAUACUUUGUAGCAAUAAGAUAUCAUACUCCAAUGUGACAGAUAAUAGGCCCUGAAGAAAUUCUAAAUAUUUUACCCUAAAAAUAUUCGGUAGUGGUCCUGCUAAGCUGCCUGUUAUGGGGGAAAUUUGCAUUCUAUAGAGAAUCUCCUCCCCUUACUAAGUCUUUUCCAAAGAGUCUGACAUUUUUUUAAAGGUCUGAUAAGCAACAUUCACCAUCUACUUCAUUUGCUACCCAUAGGAUUCAUCUAUAUGACAAAAAUCCCCAUUUUCUAAACUCAAGCAUUUUUUAUGGUGAAUUCAACUCUUUAGGCAGAGCUUAACUCUUUCAACCAGUAGCCAGUCAGGAAAGCUUUGACUCCACCUAUGACCUGGAAGCCCCUGCUUCAUAAUAUCCCACCUUUCCAAGACAAACUAAUGUAUAUCUGAUAUGUAUUGAUUUAUGUCUUUGCCAGUAAUUUCUGUGUCACCCUAAAGUGCAUAAAACCAAUGUGUAAUCCAAUCACUUUGGGCACAUGUUUGCAGGACCUCCUAAGGCUGUGUCACAGGCCAUAAGUCAUAUAUUUGGCAAAAUAACCCUGUAAAUUGAUUGAGACCUGUCUCAGAUAGUGUUUUGUUUACAUUGGGUCACAAAAUUUAAAAAUCCUCUAAAACUAUCUACAUAUCAAUAAAUCUACAUUAGAGACAGCGGAGUGAGCAAACCCCAGCAGAUAAAACUCACAAGUUAGAGGAACCUGAGCCUAAGAUUUUGUCCAGUUCUCUUGAUUCAUAAAAAUACUUCGUGAUUUUUUAAAUUUUACUUUAGAGAAGGACAAUUCUGGGGAAGAUGUUUAUUGUUGGUGGAAUGAAUAAUGUCUCCACCCAAAAGAUGUCCAUGUCCUGUCUCUGGAACCUAAAUAAUACAGGAGUUAUGAAGAAAUUAUUUUAGGCAGAUAGAAAGGAAAAGGGGUCCUUGGGAAGGUUUUGUUUCUUUUAAAGCAGCUCUAGAAAUGCUUCUUGUCUAGCUAGAAAGCCCUGGCUCUUGGAGCUAGGCCGGGAAGGUUUCCUAUGCAAAUGCCAGCCAUUAGAAACUGGAUUCACCCAAACAUGGUGAUUCCCACUGUCUUCUUCCUUGUCUCCACAUGUUCCCGGCAACAUGACUACCCCAAUAUAUCCCCAUGUGUGUAGAACAUUAUGGCGACCUGCAUUUGCAUAUUAAAAGGCUACGGUGGGAGGGCCAGUGUUUUCCACAGGCUACGUGAAUGACAUGCCUGGUCAAACCUGUCCCUUGAGUCCUAUGCAAAUCAGACACCACCUUCUCCAGCCUCCUCAUAUAAGCAGCUACUUUUGUGCUGCACAUGGAGUUUUCUCUUUGUUAAAAUUCCCUGUCCUUCUUUCUCUGUACAGGGGAGCUAUUUUCAUGUUCCUUCAUUCUUGUAUAUUAAACUUUUCUCUCCUUAAAACCACUCCACAUAUGUCGAUAUCAUUUUAUGCCAACCGGCAUGAGACCAAGAACCCUUGUGUUCCCGGAAUUUGACAAUAAGCAACCUGGUUAUUGAAAUUAAAUCAAUAUCAUCACAAAGGUCUUUAAAUGGAAGAGGAGGCUUGCAGUCAGAGAGGAGCUGGGACACUGGGGAGGGAUGUGGUUUGAGGAAGGAAGGAGCCAUGGAACCAGAAAUGUGGGAGCGCCUGGAAGAUAAGAAGCAGAGGAUCCAGUUCUCUCCUCUGGAGCUUCCAGAAAAAUUAUGUCAGCCUCUGAGCCCAAGCUAAGCCAUCAUAUCCCUGUGACGUGCACAUAUACAUCCAGAUGGCCUGAAGCAACUGAAGAACUACAAAAGAAGUGAAAAUAGCCAGUUUCUGCCUUAACUGAUGAUAUUCCACCAUUGUGAUUUAUUCCUGCCCCACCCUAACUGAUCAAUUGACCUUGUGACAUUCUUUCUCCUGGACAAUGAGUCUCAGAAGCUCCCCUACUGAGAAACUUGUGACCCCUACCCACAAGAGAACAAUCCCCUACCCACAAGAGAACAACCCCCUUUAACUGUAAUUUUCCACUACCUACCCAAGUCCUAU